AGAGUUUGAUCCUGGCUCAGAAUCAACGCUGGCGGCGUGCCUAACACAUGCAAGUCGAGCGAGAAAGGGGGGGCAACUCCCUGAGUAAAGCGGCGCACGGGUGAGUAACACGUGGGUAAUCUGCCCUGGAGUGGGGAAUAACACCGGGAAACCGGUGCUAAUACCGCAUACGAUAGCGAGGUCUGCGGAUCUUGCGAUGAAAGGAGCAAUUCGCUCUAGGAGGAGCCCGCGGCUGAUUAGCUAGUUGGUGAGGUAACGGCUCACCAAGGCUACGAUCAGUAUCCGGUCUGAGAGGACGGUCGGACACACUGGAACUGAGACACGGUCCAGACUCCUACGGGAGGCAGCAGUGGGGAAUUUUUGGCAAUGGGGGCAACCCUGACCAAGCAACGCCGCGUGGGUGAUGAAGUCUCUUGGGACGUAAAACCCUUUCGACGGGGAAAGAAACCGCAAGGUUGACGGUACCCGUAGAAAGAAGCCCCGGCUAACUCCGUGCCAGCAGCCCGCGGUAAUACGGGGGGGGGCGAGCGUUGUUCGGAAUUACUGGGCGUAAAGGGCGCGUAGGCGGUUCGCUAAGUUGGAUGUGAAAACUCUGGGCUCAACCCAGAGCCUGCAUCCAAAACUGGCGGGCUAGAGUUCUGGAGGGGGUAGCGGAAUUCCUGGUGUAGCGGUGAAAUGCGUAGAUAUCAGGAGGAACACCGGUGGCGAAGGCGGCUACCUGGACAGAAACUGACGCUGAGGCGCGAAAGCUAGGGGAGCAAACAGGAUUAGAUACCCUAGUAGUCC
rnacentral:rRNA from 1 species